UGACUACUGGAAAAAUCAUAGCCUUGACUAUAUGGACCUUUGUUGACAAAGUAAUGUCUCUGCUUUUCAGUAUGCUGUCUAGGUUGGUCAUACUUUCCUUUCAAGGAGCAAGUAUCUUUUAAUUUCAUGGCUGCAUUCACAGUCUGCAGUGAUUUUGGAGCCCAA